rnacentral:rRNA from 1 species
UACGUAGGCAGCAAGCGUUGUUCGGAGUUACUGGGCGUAAAGGGUGCGUAGGCGGCGCGGUAAGUCGGGUGUGAAAUCUCGGAGCUUAACUCCGAAACUGCAUUCGAUACUGCCGUGCUUGAGGACUGGAGAGGAGACUGGAAUUUACGGUGUAGCGGUGAAAUGCGUAGAUAUCAUAAGGAAGACCAGUGGCGAAGGCGGGUCUCUGGGCCGAUACUGACGCUGAGGAGCGAAAGCGUGGGGAGCGAACAGG